UAGAGAGAGAGGAAGAGAUCAACUGUCGGUUGUCGGCGGUUUGCGCUUCGGUGGCGGCUCAGGCUUUGGUUCGGGUUUGGGUUCUGGUUUAGGCAUCGGUUCAGGCUUGGGCUCGGGUUUUGGUUCAGGUUUAGGCAUGGGCUUAGGCAUGGGCUCAGGCUUUGGUUCUGGUUUAGGCAUUGGCUUAGGCUUGGGUUCGGGUUUUGGCUCUGGUUUGGGCAUUGGCUCAGGCUUGGGUUCUGGUUUAGGCAUGGGCUCAGGCUUUGGUUCCGGUUUAAUUGGCUCAGGCUUCGGUUCCGGCUUAGGCAUUGGCUCGGGCUUGGGCUCAGGUUUUGGCUCAGGUUUAGGCAUUGGCUCGGGUUUGGGCUCAGGUUUAGGCUCAGGUUUAGGCACUGGCUCAGGCUUAGGCUCGGGUUUAGGCUCAGGUUUAGGCACUGGCUUAGGCAUGGGCUCGGGUUUUGGUUCCGGUUUAGGCAUUGGCUCAGGUUUGGGCUCGGGUUUAGGCUCGGGUUUAGGCAUUGGCUUAGGCAUGGGCUCGGGUUUUGGUUCCGGUUUGGGCAUGGGCUCUGGUUUUGGCUCGGGUUUUGGCAUUGGCUUAGGCAUGGGCUCUGGUUUUGGUUCCGGUUUAGGCAUCGGCUCAGGUUUCGGCUCUGGUUUAGGCAUUGGUUUGGGCAUUGGUUCCGGCUUGGGCUCUGGCUUCGGCUCGGGCUUGGGCAUGGGUUCAG
rnacentral:lncRNA from 1 species